AUGAAAGACUGCUGGAAAUGCGCCACACCUGUGAUUUCCCUGCAAGCUUCUUUUCAGCCUGCUUCCUUGCCCUCCACAUACCGCUGCUGCCUCCUACAGUUGGAGAGAGACACUUUAUCAGGGAGUGGAGUGAUAGGACGAGGGGAAAUGGCUUCAGACUGAAAGAAGGGCCACGUGCAGCUGCUGGGGUAUGUGCUCUGUAUAACAUACCCCAUCCACCUCCGCUGGAGAUGAAGCAGUAGAAAUGAACGGGAAGUGACUGGCAGAGACAUCCUUGUGUGGGUCUGUCCUGUGGAUGUUGGGGCUGUUGCAGCUUCAUACCAAGAGGCAGCUGGAUGGGAACUCUUUGCACACACUACCGGAGCUAGAUCCAUAGACACCUGAAAGGGGGUGUAACUGAGAAGCUUUCCGCUUUGGAGCAGACCAACCAUACAACCUAGACAGCUCAGAGGCCGCAAGAGGGAUUUGAGCAAACCCUCUCUACCCUUACCACAGCUUCUGGAUUCUGCAGUGUGGAUGCAGCAGUCCGUGGCACAGUAGAGCCAGGCCGGAGUCCCCAAUCUUGUUAUCCCCCACAGACAGAUCUAUCAGCGACGACUUGUUGCUCAGCACCGCGCUGAUGUCCCGACAGCUGUCACUGGUUAUUCCGCAGUUUUCCAGGCUGCAGGAAAAAAAAGCACAGUUUGAAUUGCUGCUCCAAACCUGCUGCAUUAGGUACGAUCCUCCACGCCCUGUUUGGACAUUCACCCUUAUAUCAACUGUCUUUUUGAAGAGGAACUUUUGGACAUUAUGACACUGUGAGUCCCCUGCAGCCACAAACCAAACUGGGACACAGGGAAUGAAGGAAAAGGGACUGCUGGCUGCUGCAGAGCCCUGAAGCCUCUGCACAGCUGGAGCUGGCUCCCUAGAUCUAGGUAGCAGUGACUUAGCAGCUGUGUGCUCCUCCAGCCAGGCUGUGCUGAAGCACAUGGGCAAGUUAAAACAAUUGUGCUUCUACCUUGAACCCUCCCUUUCAGGGGCUGUACCAACAAGAGGACAAAUUCAACAUCUCUUUCUUGAAGAAAAUCUGGAUCUGAAUAAAUAUGCUCAGCCAGCUGGUAACUCAGGGGUAAGAACUAGAGCCUCUGAAGGCUGUUGCUCUUUCACUCGCAGAUACUGAUGAGCAGCCACUCCUUGUAAUUGCAAAUUUAACCUGGGGUACGUGUUCACGCCACACCAAUAGACAUGGGAGUGAACUUAGAAUCACAUGAUAGUUUAAAAAAAACAGAUGUGCUUUCAGUUUCCACAAUUCUGGAAAUUUGAGCCAGCAAAAAGCUGGCCUAAAUUUCAAGCAUUCUUGACAAGAGUUUUUCCUUCUUUUGUGCAUGGUAGGAAUAGCAGCAGGGUUAUUUUCAGCUAGAGGUGACCAGCUCUUCCUUACUGUAGUAACUCUAAGUUGCAGCUUGCCUCCACCAGCCCCCGGCACAGCUGCUUUACAGCUGUAUCUCCCAGCGUGUUGUUGCUCAGGCUGAGCUCCUUCAGGGUGGGCUUGGUUUGCAGAGCAGCAUUGAGAGCUUCCACAAUAUCAGCCGUGAGUUCACAAUACUCCAGCCUGCAAGGAGAAAAGAAACCCAGGCAAAAAAAAGUGUCUCCACCACGUCCUGCUACCAACAGACACAUCGAGGCAGAAAAUGUGCCAGUGGGAUCUACGAGUUGAGACGAGGCAAUGCACGAAGGAGAGGGGACCAUAAGCAGACUGCAGCAUGGUUCUUACAGCAUGUUAUUUCUUAAACUGAGACCUCAGGGAAACCAAGCAAGACUAGCCCCCCACCCCAACUUUACUCUAGCCCCCCACUGAAGCAACACACAGGCUGCCUCAGCUUCGAAUUGUGGCACAUCACGCAGCCUCACCACCAAGCCUUCCCGAGAGGAGCUGGAGACUGCAAAGAGACCUGGGUCCAACUCAGAGGCAAAGCAAGGACCAGGUGCAGCAGAAUCAGCCUUCCCCUGGGAGUCAGAGGCAUCUUGCAUUAACAGGAUGCUGCCAAAUGAGCUGAAUAAAGCCUACGGGAACAGGCACCCAGCUCUGACAAACCCUCAAGACUCACUCCCACACAAUCAGGUUCAGACAAAGCAGGAAGAAAUCCACAGCUGGCAACAAAACUCCUGUUUGUCUCAAGUUCAAGACAUAUGCGAACUGCCUGAUGACCAAAAUGCUCAGGGACUACUUACUGCAGCUUCUGCAGCUUACAGUUGGGGUUCAUCAGCCCCUGGCACAGCACCUUCACCCCAGCAGUUCCCAGCUUGUUGUCACCCACGUGCAGCUCUGUCAGCGACGGCUGUGCGCUGAGGACGGAGCGGAGAGUCUCACAGCUGGCGCUCGUCAGGUUGCAGUUCUGCAGCCUAAAGGAGAAAGGCAGCUCAGGUGAGAUAAAUGCAUCCCCAGAAUUACCCUGGGACUCUUCUGGGAGAAGUGCAGCUGCUGGGGUUUGGGCAAAGGAAGGACACCAUGGCACCUCCAGGAUACAGCUCUCUCGAAAGCAGUACAUCCAGACACCUUACCAGAACCCCAAAAAUGAACAAUCAUGUUCCUACAAAACUGAUGCAACCUAAUCCAUGCUAUUUCUUGGGGCCCUGUAGAGUUUGGAGCUCAGGACAAAAGCUCUCUGAAAAAUAUCCGGAGUCAGUCUCCUAGUACAGCAUAGCAGAGUUACGUUUAGAAGCCCAUCUGAGAACUGCUGCUUGAUUAGUUUCAGCCGUCUCUCUCUAUUUGCCAAUGACCCCUCGCUGCAGGGGGCACAGUGACUUUGAAGCAGGCCUAUCUGGUGUAAAAAGGAAACAAUUUGUAUGAGGUAGCAUCAGGAAGGUGCCAGAUGCACCUCAGGAGCUGGAGAACUCCAGUUCUUUGCUGAAGAGCUCCUGGACAGAGGAGGCAGCACCUCAUUGAGGGUCACUAAAGAGCAAAGGCAGCAACUGCUGGCUUUGACUAAAGCUCCUGCAGCGUGGUUGGGCUGUAGGGCUUGCUAGGGGAAGUCUUUUAAUGCCAUAGUGUGCUGCUAGUGCCUCUGCAAAAACUGCUGGCUUGAGCCGAGCCCCACAUUCAGCCCCUGCCCAACUGACAACACAGGGCUUGUGGCAGAGUCAGUUCGGUGGGGUGCAGAAAGACUGACAGCUCCUGAAGUGCCAAGGAACACCAACACUCACAGGAACACCCUUUUGCUUGGCUCCCAUAGAAAGAAGCAAGCAAAAUGGAUGGGACUGCUAAACCCCGUGCUGAUAACUGGCAGAAGAGUACUCUGAAAAACACAUUUCUGAGAAUGUCAGGUGUGUCCUAAUGGCACAUACGCUAAAGAAGGUCUCUGUAAACCCUUAGCUUGGCUGGGAAAACUCUACCUGUCCUUCCCUUUGUGCUGGAAGACAGAUGGAUAAUCUGGAGUCUUACAGCAAAUAUGCUAGCUAAGUAAAAAA